CAGAUCGCAGUCUGCAACCCGACUGCGUGAAGUCGGAAUCGCUAGUAAUCGCGGAUCAGCAUGCCGCGGUGAAUACGUUCCCGGGCCUUGUACACACCGCCCGUCACACCAUGAGAGUCGGGAACACCCGAAGUCCGUAGCCUAACCGCAAGGGGGCGCGGCCGAAGGUGGGUUCGAUAAUUGGGGUGAAGUCGUAACAAGGUAUC
rnacentral:rRNA from 1 species